CUUUUAGGUCGAAGUGAUUGGAUGUGCUCCCAGGAAAAGCCUCUAAGCUCCAGCUCAACGGGACCGUACCGCAAACCGACACUGGUGGGCGAGCUGAAUAUGCUCAGGCGCUUGAGAGAACUCAGGAGAAGGAACUCGGCAAAUUGACACCGUAACUUCGGGAUAAGGUGUGCCUUUGUAGUGUGAAGGAAGAAACAUCCGGAGCAUGAAGAGGUCUCAGAGAAUUGGUGGCUGCGACUGUUUACUAAAAACACAGCACUCUGCAAAGACGAAAGUCGACGUAUAGGGUGUGAUGCCUGCCCGGUGCUGGAAGAUUAAUUGAUGGGGUGCAAGCUCCUGAUCGAAGUCCCAGUAAACGGCGGCCGUAACUAUAACGGUCCUAAGGUAGCGAAAUUCCUUGUCGGGCAAGUUCCGACCUGCACGAAUGGCAUAACGAUGGCCACACUGUCUCCUCCUGAGACUCAGUGAAGUUGAAGUGUUUGUGAUGAUGCAAUCUCCCCGCGGCUAGACGGAAAGACCCCAUGAACCUUUACUGUAGCUUUGCAUUGGACUUUGAACCGAUCUGUGUAGGAUAGGCGGGAGGCUGAGAAGCGGUGACGCUAGUCAUCGUGGAGCCGUCCUUGAAAUACCGCCCUGAUUUGUUUGAGGUUCUAACCUAGGUCAGUGAUCCUGAUCGGGGACCGUGCAUGGUAGGCAGUUUGACUGGGGCGGUCUCCUCCUAAAGGGUAACGGAGGAGUGCGAAGGUACGCUAGGUACGGUCGGAAAUCGUGCUGAUAGUGCAAAGGCAAAAGCGUGCUUGACUGCGAGACCCACAAGUCGAGCAGAUACGAAAGUAGGUCUUAGUGAUCCGGUGGCUCUGUAUGGAAGGGCCAUCGCUCAACGGAUAAAAGGUACUCUGGGGAUAACAGGCUGAUACCGCCCAAGAGUUCAUAUCGACGGC
rnacentral:rRNA from 1 species